CAUGCAUGUCUCAGUACUAACCGCUUUAAGGCGAAACCGCGAAUGGCUCAUUAAAUCAGUUAUGGUUCCUUGGAUCUUACCCACACUUACAUGGAUAACUGUGGUAAUUCUAGAGCUAAUACAUGAACCUCGUGCCCCGACCAGUGAUGGAAGGGGUGCUUUUAUUAGAACAAAACCAAUCGGUCGGUCUUCCGUCCGUUGCCUUGGUGACUCUGAAUAACUUUUGGCUGAUCGCACGGUCCUAGCACCGGCGACGCAUCUUUCAAAUGUCUGCCUUAUCAACUUUCGAUGGUAGGUUCUGCGCCUACCAUGGUUGUAACGGGUGACGGGGAAUCAGGGUUCGAUCCCGGAGAGGGAGCCUGAGAAACGGCUACCACAUCCAAGGAAGGCAGCAGGCGCGCAAAUUACCCACUCCCGGAACGGGGAGGUAGUGACGAAAAAUAACGAUACGGGACUCAUCCGAGGCCCCGUAAUCGGAAUGAGAACACUUUAAAUCCUUUAACGAGGAUCUAUUGGAGGGCAAGUCUGGUGCCAGCAGCCGCGGUAAUUCCAGCUCCAAUAGCGUAUAUUAAAGUUGUUGCGGUUAAAAAGCUCGUAGUCGGAGGUGUGUCUCGGACGGUCGGUUCGCCGCUUGUCGGUGCUCAACUGGCCGGUCCGGACGUCCUGCCGGUGGGGCCGCGAGGCUCCGUUAUCCUUCUUUGGUCCUCUUCACCGAGUGCCUUGGUGGGCCGGCACGUUUACUUUGAACAAAUUAGAGUGCUCAAAGCAGGCCGUUGGUCGCCUGAAUACUGUGUGCAUGGAAUAAUGGAAUAGGACCUCGGUUCCAUUUUGUUGGUUUUCAGAACUCGAGGUAAUGAUUAAUAGGGACGGACGGGGGCAUUCGUAUUGCGACGUUAGAGGUGAAA
rnacentral:rRNA from 1 species